AAGUUCUUAGUAUACAGAAGUACGCCUAAUUUCCAAUUAGGAGGCUCUAAUAGAAAGAAGAAUUUC
rnacentral:tRNA from 1 species